rnacentral:misc_RNA from 1 species
GCAAACUUGGUCAUUUAGAGGAAGUAAAAGUCGUAACAAGGUUUCCGUAGGUGAACCUGCGGAAGGAUCAUUACAGAGAACUUGCCCCUUUGGGUAGAUCUCCACCCUUUGUUUACUUUACCUUUGUUGCUUUGGCAGGUCUGUCUUUUGACUACCGGCAUCAGCUGGUCAGUGCCUGCCAGAGGACCUUAAACUCAUGAUUUGUAUCAUCCGAGUACUAUACAAUAGUUAAAACUUUCAACAACGGAUCUCUUGGUUCUAGCAUCGAUGAAGAACGCAGC